GAUGAACGCUAGCGGCAGGCUUAAUACAUGCAAGUCGAGGGGCAGCAGGUUUGUAGCAAUACAAAUGCUGGCGACCGGCAAACGGGUGCGGAACACGUACACAACCUUCCUUUAAGUGGGGAAUAGCCCAGAGAAAUUUGGAUUAAUACCCCGUAACAUUAUGAUGUGGCAUCACAUUAUAAUUAUAGCUCAGGCGCUUAAUGAUGGGUGUGCGGCUGAUUAGAUAGUUGGCGGGGUAACGGCCCACCAAGUCUGCGAUCAGUAACUGGUGUGAGAGCACGACCAGUCACACGGGCACUGAGACACGGGCCCGACUCCUACGGGAGGCAGCAGUAAGGAAUAUUGGUCAAUGGACGCAAGUCUGAACCAGCCAUGCCGCGUGGAGGAUGAAGGUCCUCUGGAUUGUAAACUUCUUUUAUCUGGGACGAAAAAGGGUCUUUCUAGAUCAACUGACGGUACCAGAUGAAUAAGCACCGGCUAACUCCGUGCCAGCAGCCGCGGUAAUACGGAGGGUGCAAGCGUUAUCCGGAUUCACUGGGUUUAAAGGGUGCGUAGGUGGGUUGGUAAGUCAGUGGUGAAAUCUCCGAGCUUAACUUGGAAACUGCCAUUGAUACUAUCAGUCUUGAAUAUUGUGGAGGUCGGCGGAAUAUGUCAUGUAGCGGUGAAAUGCUUAGAUAUGACAUAGAACACCAAUUGCGAAGGCAGCUGGCUACACAUAUAUUGACACUGAGGCACGAAAGCGUGGGGAUCAAACAGGAUUAGAUACCCUGGUAGUCCACGCCCUAAACUAUGGAUACUCGACAUACGCGAUACACUGUGUGUGUCUGAGCGAAAGCAUUAAGUAUCCCACCUGGGAAGUACGAUCGCAAGAUUG
rnacentral:rRNA from 1 species